GACCACGUAGCUCAGUUGGCAGAGCAUUGGGCUAGUAUUCCAAAGGUCGUAGGUUCGAUUCCCACUGUGGCCA
rnacentral:tRNA from 1 species